CAAGCUCCGGACUACCGACUGUAUAAGAGUGAGCCUGAGCUGACCACAGUGAAGGAGGAAGUGGACGAGGCUAAUGGGGAGGACAAGGACAAGACAGAGACCUCUGCUGAGAGUAAAGAUGCUGCAGCCUCAAAAGCGCCCCCCUGCCCAGUUGGCAUCGUCCCUCCCAGGACCAAAUCUCCCAUGAGCCCUCCCGAGUCCUCCACCAUCGCCUCCUACGUCACCCUGAGGAAGACCAAGAAGCCUGAAUCCAGAUCAGACCGCCCCAGGAGUGCAGUGGAUCAGACGGGUUUUGGGGAGCGAGAGGUGGGCAGAACGAGGAUGAGCGUGGAGGAGCAGCUGGAGAGGAUGAGGAGAAACCAGCAGGCCUCGUCGCUCCGAGAGAAGAAGAGAGAAACCCCGUCCCGCUCGCCCUCCUUCAACAAAGAAGUUGCUAUCCUGCAGAGCCGGGUCCAGGCAGAGGGGGCCUGUGCAGACCCUGUGGAGCUGGAGGCGGCUCUGCAGCAGCUGAAGGUGGCUCACAUGGAGCAGAGCAGGAUGGUCGCCGAGGCUGCUGGGACUCGCACAGAAGCUGCACAACAGGAAGUGCAGAGAGAAGAAGAGGUGAAAAACGACAAGGGUGAGGAGGUACAGCAGGACGGGGACGUGACCCUGCAGAGUGUGAAUGAGCCGCAGGCUGAGACCAACAGCAUAGUCAGUGAGCUGUGUGAAAGCCAGAGGGUGGUGAUUCUGGACCUGGGCACGGAGCCUCAGCAUGUGGAGAUUGUAAACCUUCAGCCUUUUGAGGAUGACGAAAGCAGAGAGCAGGAUCUGACCAGCUCGCCAACAAACACCACCACUGAAAACAGCUUCCAGACUCCCGAGCCUGCCACACCGAGCCCGGAGCCGAGGGAGGAGGAAGCAGACGUGACGCGGCAAACCACCAGGGAGGAGCGGCUGGAGAGGAGCCUGGAUUCUUCUAAGCAGCUGACGGCAGAAGACAUGAAACAUAGCAACAACAACAACAACAUGCUGGCUGGUAAGUGAAUCCAUCACUGCUGCACAUGUGACCUUCAGAGAUGUAGCAUCUGAGUGUGUCAUUGAGGCCUUCUGUGAAUGAAUAUGUCUGUGAAUGGGGGAAGAGUUUACCUUUUCCGAUUACACGUUGAGGUGGUAAGACAAUUUUUUAGACUGAAUUUCACAAAGUUUUAGGCAAAAUAUGAAACAAAUUUGGUAUUCUCCACCAGUCCAUAAUUUGACUUUUUAUUUUUUUAUUCNNNNNNNNNNNNNNNNNNNNNNNNNNNNNNNNNNNNNNNNNNNNNNNNNNNNNNNNNNNNCCUGAAAUCCCAUCAGGAGCCCUUCAGACCUAUUUAAAGGUUAUAUAUGAGAUUUUCAACGUUAAUAUAGCAGCAAACCUCUAUUGGCCAUGUAAAGAUACAGUGCAGUCAGGGUGUCCUGAGCAGAGAAUGAUGUCACACUCUGCCUGUGUUGGUAUUGCAGCCUCUCACUUUUCAUUCCAGUCUGCCACAUGUGAAUUUGAGUCCCUGCGUUUGCAUCUGAGUAGAGGGACUGAAACUGCGUCUGUCUCAUCUGCAUCUGUGAAUUAAGAUUUAUUGCAACCAAACCAGAGUUGAAGAGUUUUAUUUUGUUUCUGUCCACUUUGAAUGAAGUUAUGAUGUUACAAUCAUAUGCAAGGUAAAAUCACUGUUUUUGUCUGUGGAGGCUGGUGGAGAGUGAUAGUGAUAUUCCAGCUGUUUCUGGUUACACAAAAGGUCUAUCUCUGCAGGGAUCCUUUCCAUAAUGCUGUCAGACACCAAUCUGAGCCUGUUGGGAACAAAAAUGAGCACUUUUAGUGGAUGUACUUUGGCAAGUGAAUUUGUCACAAGGAUUAGCAAACGUUAAAUGUCAGCCACGAUGGCUAUUUUCGUCUAGCUCAGUGAAUUCAUUAGAAAUAGAAGUGAUAGUGGUGUCCAUCUUCUCAUCUAACGUUCACAGUAAAAGGAAGUGCACAUUUGCCAACUCCAACUAUUUAAUUUAAUUUUCUGUCUCUUCUAACAGUGUUGACUGUUUACUGGUUCCAUGCUUUAACGUCCACUGGAAGUAUGCGACAGAAACAUUUCAGUAUUAAUGUGACUGGUUGGACACGCUGUAGUUCCAGAUGAUUCCACAUGAAGUGGAUGAAUCUGCUGUGCGUGUUCAACCAGUAUAUACAGAUUCAUAUCUCACAUUGCUCUCCUCGUCAGUUUUACAGGGAAUAUGAAACUCAUCUCCAAUGAAGCAUAUCUAAACUCUUUCAUAAUCAUUUAACCAAGUGGGGAUGGAAGUCCUACUCCUCAGCUCAUGAUGUGAAAGGCUGUAAACCUGAAUGAACACACUAAACUGAGAGGCUUCAUGCCACCUGUACACUGUUUUUUCAUAAGUUAAAUGAUUUCACCAACCACUUUCUAACUGAUUUCUUGACAAUAGCUAGUUUUUGUUUAAUUAAAUAAAAAAUAAAAUGUAUGUUAGUAAACAACUUAAAUUCUCUACUACAUUCUGGUUGACGUACUGUUGGCACCUGUUUGCAGGUUUUGAAAUGCUGUUGGAAGGUACCGUUACGGCCCGAAACGGGACCGAACCAACCGAACGGGGGGGUAANNNNNNNNNNNNNNNNNNNNAAAAAAAACUAAACACCAUAUUUGAAAAACAACUUAUUUGCUCAGGAUGUUUUUAUCCACUGUGGCUGGUGGAGUCCACUUAGGCUAUUUCAUCAGACAGCCACACAGUGUUUGAGGCUUUAAUUGGAGCGUUUGAACAGUGUUUAGUUAACUCACAGGAGAGGAACUCGGCAGUCUCAUGAAAAUGGAAUAAAAUCCGCUGCCUGGUUUAAUGCCCACUUGGCUGCCUCCCAGCUUUUGGUAAUCCUGCUGUUGUGGCAGCUGUAAGACUUCACUGUAACUUUUGUUCUCAAUCAGAGCAGGUGGCGAGAGGGAGAGAGAGAGGGAGAGAGAGAGAGAGAGAGAGAGAGACUUUCAGAGGUGUUAGUGCUCUUGUAGGACGUGUAAGCACGGCCUCCAUAGAGAGCCAGUAUGGACAUUGAUCAGAGCAGAUGGUCAGCUGGCUCAGCCCACACACACACUGCAGCACUAUGCAAGCUGUGAAAUCUGCUUAUAUCACACACAGUUUGAGCCACUUUUAGAUGAUGUGUUUUUUAUGUUAUUGCAGACACCUUUCAGAUUAAGGUCAAAGAGUUUCCAGUUUAUAGGCCCCUAACAGCCAGUUCUUUCACGUUACUUUACGCGCUUGAAAGCUGCCUGAAAGCACAGUUCUAUCCAUGACAUUAUUUGUAGUUAUUAAGCUAAAACUACUCACACCGUGCCUCAAAUUAGGGCUGCACAAUGAAUCACAAUAGUAUAGAAAUCACAAUACAAAACAGCAAACAGAUAAACAGCAUUAUACUGUAGUUCUGCAGAGAUGCCAGACCUACAAAUCUUGAUAUAAGAAAACAUGUUUGUGUGGUAUCGACUCCAACAAAUGUCACAUCAGUUUUUAAAAAUCAAAUUUGUGAUGCAAAAAUGAUCAUUGUCACACUAAUCGGGAAUCCUAACGCAAUAUCUGUCAAAAUAAUCGCAAUAUGAUGUUUUUACCGUAUAAUGCAGCCAUGCUUUAAACCCAGCUAUACCCCAACUGUUCUUCUGAGUACAGGUAAGUAGGUAGAAGUAACAAUGACUGAGAACUCUGUCACUGUACCUUUACUUCAUUAAAUUGAUGAGAUUUGUUAUGUUAAAGUGUAGAAUGUCAGAGCUGCCUACAGCUGUGCUGUUGUAGUCCAAUCGGCAGGAUAUUGCUUUUCUUUUUGUGUAUGGUAUGGUAAAAAAAAAAAAUCCUAUUGAGAUUAUUUUGAUCGUUAUUGCAAUAUGAUUCACAAUAAGUGUAGGAAUGAUAAUUUUUGCAUCACAUAUUUAAUUUUCACUGAAAAAACGAUGAUGAUUGGACAUUUGGUAAUGGUUAAUGGUAAAUGGCCCUAUACUUGUAUAGCGCCUCUCGUGACCACUCAAAGCGCUUUUACACUAUGUGCCACAUUCACCGUUUCACACAGUGAUAGUAAACUCCAUCAAACAGAAACUCAUUCAUGCACAUUCACACACCGAUGGGAGCAAUUUGGGGUUCAGUAUUUUGCUCAAGGAUACUUGAGGAGCCGGGGCUCGAACCAACAACCUUCCGAUUAGUGGACGACCUGCUCUGAGCCACAGCGCCCCAUUUGUUGGGGUCUUUACCAAACAAACAUGUUUUCUUACAUCUGGAGAACCAGACUUGUAGGUCAGGACACCUCUGCAGCACUACAGUACUUCAUUAUAAUGCUGCUAGUCACCUUUAACCUUUAUCACAAACCUGCAGCUUCUGUGAUUGAGAUAUUGCACUUGGACAUAUUGUGAUUUCAAUAAUAAGAUUAAUUGUGCAGCACUACUUGUUUUUGCCAGUUACCAAUAUUGAUCAUUUUGUCAUACACUAGGUAAACAGGAAUAGAGGCAUGAGGAGUAGAAUUUGUGGUUGCUGCUUGUAAACACACAACUCAAAGUUAGAGAGAGAGACAGCAUAAUAUAACAUUACUCACUUAGUUUACUGACAGGACAACAGGGCAUGCCAUAGGUCAAGCUGAUAGUGGAGUGCCCUCUGCUGGAUCACAAGGCGAACUACUUCAAACGCUCUGUUGUGCUUAUACAGUGUUUCCUCUAUGGUGAUGUUGGAGCGGCGGCCCGCCAUUGUUAAAUUUCUGCCGCCACGGUAUCAGGAAUGGGGCAGACGCACAAUGUAAUCACGGUUGCCUUUUAAAUGAUCCUGCCGACAUAAUGCACCCCUGUUGGCUGCCGCUCACAUUGCAAUUUAACAACAAGUAGAACUAUUCAGAGGUUAUUGGGGCUGUCCAGUUNNNNNNNNNNNNNNNNNNNNUCACUUCACAGCCUGUGGUUACCUCAGCCAACUGACAUUGUGAUGUCCAAGACACAGCUGCAUAAAGUUAAAUAGUAUCUGGAGAUUUCUGCAAGGGCUGAUUCAUGAUACUUCCAGACUAAAAUAACUUCCAAUUGUCUGUUAACAUGUUGACUUGCUUCCUAUAGAAUGAAACAAUGCUCACACAUGAACAGACUGGGCAUGAAAACAGGAUGACACCUGACAUCCUUUGAACAAAUAUGUGUCUGAGACAAAAAUAUGUCAAUGUAGCAUGGAAGUGUAAACAGGAUUUUGUUUAGAACUUGUUGUGAUAUAAUGCUAAUCACCUAAGGCAACGGUAAGCAGCUUUUUACUCAUGGCUGGAGCAUUUCCUAUUUACCCAGUAUUUCAAAUAUAGUUUCUUCACAAUGAUACAGUUGCAGGAGGAAAAGAUUCAUGCUUUGUCACAUCUAAUUAAUGACAGGAAAAAAGGUCUGGAUGUUAAAUAUUGACGUAUCCUGUUUGGGUCUGCUGUCCAGGUGGUCCAACAAGUCAUAUUACAUCAUCUCCCAGAAUCCUCCUGUUCAGGUUAUUCUCUCCAUUCUCUUCUCUUCUAUUUGCAACAUAUUUUGGUUUUAUUAUUUAA
rnacentral:lncRNA from 15 species